rnacentral:SRP_RNA from 1 species
CCCUGGAACUCCCGCAACACUAGUUCGUGAACCUGGUCAGAUCCGGAAGGAAACAGCCACAGCGGAUGAUGUGUGUGCCGGAUGUGGCUGACGCCU